UCUACCUGCUUUAGGGUGGGCUGGCGGGGGUGGGGGGGGGCGGCUGUCAAGUUCAUUGAUUUCUUCAGAUGUUCCUCCACCCCCAGGGCCUAUGGACCUAAUCUCGGAAAGACAGUUUGGCUUUCUGAGCCAAUAUGAACAAAUAUGGCCCCAGCGCGUCAUGUCUCCCGGAAGGAGAUUUGGGGACCCGGGCGAUGGGCUCACAAGUACCUUUUCUCUGUCUGCUUCCACGUCCUUUCCUGGAGGCAAUGGAUGCCAUAUGUUGGAGCCGCUCAGAAGAUCUCUCUUGAAAAUAAUACACGCUCAGCAAUACUUAUUGGGUGAUUAACUGGCCUGUGAUCGAGACAGCCGCCUGACUGUUUUGGGUUAAAGCAAGUGGAGUGGAAUAGCAUUUCGUAAUGGACGAAUCACUCAGAUAUAUGUAUUAACCAACUAUCACUUAAAUACCACAGCAACCCUGCCAAGGAGGUGUUGGUAGCCCCAUACACGAGUUCCCUGAAGUCUCAGAGCGUCUAGGUAACGUGUCUAAUGUCAACGCAGCUGGUAAAGGACAGAUUUGAAUCCAGGAUCUGCCCCUCAGCCCAGGACUCGUCCCCACCUCGAGUGGCAAAAGCCCAGUGGAAACAAAGGUGACCAAGAAAAAAAAAAAAAAAAAGGCAGGUAAGUGUAACUCUUCAGCCGUUUGUCUCGAAGGUUUUGCCGAUCCCUGAUCCAACAUCUGCAGGCUGUUUCUACUUCCUGCUGAGCCCCUUUCCAGAAGGCUCCGUCUGGAAAGGACUCCAAAUUCAGCACGGAAAGCCCGGCUCCUGGUAACCGAAGAUGGUUGGCAAAUGGUCUUUGAACAAACCUCUCUCAUGAAAUGCUGGGUCGGUUUCACAAGUACAUAAAAUAACAACGGAAUCAAAGACAUAAACAAGAACAAGCCUGUAAUCGUCACAAAGCGGGCAGGCGUGGGGGAAGGAAGGCGGCUUCUGAUGCUCUGGCCCCUCCUGUUUUCUUUGCAGGCGAGUCCAACGCUCUGGCCAUCUGUUCCUUGUUGUGGGUGGUUAAGUGAAAUGGGCUGCCAAUACAAAUAGCCCCACUUGAGGUUUGUUUGCAUAAAUUGUUUUGAAAGCUU